GUCCCUGUUGCGCAAUGGAUAGCGCGUUGAAUUUCUAAUCCAAAGGUCGUGGGACUUAAUCCCAGCUGGGAUG